CAGUUGUUCCAUGCUCGUUGGCUCAGGCUUCGUGUGGGUGGGGUGGGGGAAAGGGGAAGGCACACACGUCUGUGCUGUGGUCUGCGGUUUGCCCCUUCUGCUUGUGGGGUAAUGGUGCUUUUAAGUGGACAGGUGCUUCUGGAUUGAAACCAACAGUAAGAUGGUGAGGGGCCUCAGACCCCAACUACCCCUGCUUCAACAAGGGCCUUCCAGACCAGCCUAACAACCUCUAAGUGCUCGGGGAACUGGCAGAGUGGCAUUCCAGGACUGUGACACUGGGGCUAAGGUCUCCAGCAUCUCCAGGGGAGAUGAGCCGCCCUGGGCCCCCAGAGGAGAAGGUCUCUGCCACUCAGUUGUCCGGGGCUCCCGACGCCCCUGGAGAUGCUCCUGGUGAUGACAUACAUGGUGCAGAGGAUUCAGACUUGGUGCCCUCUGUCACCCUGGCUGCAGCCCUCAUCUUAUUGUUCCUCCUGAUGUCAUUCUGGCUAGCAUAGCCACGCUGCCAAGCCUCCUGCCACUCUGCCAAGCUUCCUACUAAGUGGGUUCCUGAGCAGAGGGCAGCAGGACAGCUGGGCUUCUAGCUCCACUCCUGGUCAAUGGCAUUCAAUGCUGUGUGAGACUAUCAAAGGGGGAUCCAGUAGGAGGCUGCAGCCUCAACCCCCACGUUUAGGCAGCUCAUGUUCAUUCAUCUGGCCUGCUUUCAUUGAUAACUAGCUUCACCUUUGUUCCCCAUCUUUGGAAAGCCAUGCUGAGGGCUUCAGAUAAAGCUGAAUGACUCCAGGCAUUUGUAU